rnacentral:rRNA from 1 species
UAGCCGUAAACGAUGCGGACUGGGUGUUGGGAUGGCUUUGAGCUGUUCCGGUGCCGAAGGGAAGCUGUUAAGUCCGCCGCCUGGGAAGUACGGUCGCAAGACUGAAACUUAAAGGAUUGGCGGGGGGAGCACCACAACGCGUGGAGCCUGCGGUUUAAUUGGAUUCAACGCCGGAGAUCUCACCAGGGGCGACAGCAGUAUGAUGGCCAGGUUGAUGGCCUUGCUUGACAAGCUGAGAGGUGGUGCAUGGCGUCAGUGACU